rnacentral:rRNA from 1 species
CACGUAGGGAGCAAGCGUUGUCCGGAUUUAUUGGGCGUAAAGAGCUCGUAGGUGGUUCGGUAAGUCAGGUGUGAAACCUCCAGGCUCAACCUGGAGACGCCACUUGAUACUGCUGUGACUGGAGUCCGGUAGGGGAGCGUGGAAUUCCUGGUGUAGCGGUGAAAUGCGUAGAUAUCGGGAGGAACACCUGUGGCGAAAGCGGCUCACUGGACCAUAACUGACGCUGAUGCACGAAAGCUAGGGGAGCAAACAGG